CUCAGUGGCUGUGAAAUUCCUGAGGAUGUUAUUACUUUCAAGUCAGAUUAACAGAGUAAUUUCCAGAUAUCUUGCAAUAGGUAGUCCCAUUUCAAGGAUUCCCUGCUCACUGAACAUCUGUCUGAUGAAGUCUGUCUGCUUUUGCACAACUGGAGCAAUGCUAUGCUGCUGCCUAGAUGAGUGUAUAAAGUGAAUUUGGACUGGUUCAGUGGAAGGGAGCUGUUUAUGAAUGAACUCAGUUCACAGAUGCAUGACAUCUGAGAAAAGUGAAUGCAAGACUUCAUCCCUCCGGGUCAAUAAUCUUUAGGACAAGGCAAAGAGGAGACAGAAAUUGAGGAGAUGCUGCUGUUUUGGCGUCUGUAUUUCAAGUCACAGUCCUGUCAGCUCAGCAGAAGUCAUGCAGUACUGGAGUCCUUCCGAACUGUGGGAAAGAGCUCUUCCAGCUGCCGAGUAGUGACCCCAGACAUCGUCCUGAGGAGAUGUCCCAGAGCAUCUGUCUGGCCUGUGAGAUUGCUUUCAGCAACUUGUGCAUUUGUGCUUUGAGUGAUCAUCAGGGGAGGAUAUGGAUGGUACUCAAAUCCUGACCUACGUCUCACGCUCUUGUUCUGGACCCUGAUGCAAGCUGGUAGGCCAGGCUGCCUUUCCCUCCUCCUUUUAACUCAUGUGUAGUUCUUUGGCAUGCAUCCAAACUGAGUGCAGUAUGGAGGAAAAGGUCUGCAGGUUCCUGGAGCAUAUAUACACAUGUGGUCAGAUCCCCAUCUCAUUAAAUUAGCAUGUGGAGUGGAGACC
rnacentral:lncRNA from 1 species